ACACUCCUGCGGGAGGCAGCAGUGGGGAAUUUUGGACAAUGGGCGAAAGCCUGAUCCAGCCAUGCCGCGUGCAGGAUGAAGGCCUUCGGGUUGUAAACUGCUUUUGUACGGAACGAAACGGCCUUUUCUAAUAAAGAGGGCUAAUGACGGUACCGUAAGAAUAAGCACCGGCUAACUACGUGCCAGCAGCCGCGGUAAUACGUAGGGUGCAAGCGUUAAUCGGAAUUACUGGGCGUAAAGCGUGCGCAGGCGGUUAUGUAAGACAGUUGUGAAAUCCCCGGGCUCAACCUGGGAACUGCAUCUGUGACUGCAUAGCUAGAGUACGGUAGAGGGGGAUGGAAUUCCGCGUGUAGCAGUGAAAUGCGUAGAUAUGCGGAGGAACACCGAUGGCGAAGGCAAUCCCCUGGACCUGUACUGACGCUCAUGCACGAAAGCGUGGGGAGCAAACAGGAUUAGAUACCCUAGUAGUCCCAU
rnacentral:rRNA from 1 species